GCUGGGUGUGGUGGCUCAUGCCUGUAAUCACAGCAGCUGGGGAGGCUGAGGCAGGAGAACUGCAAGUUCAAAGCCAGCCUCAGACACUUAGUGGGACCCUAAGCAACUUAGCAAGAACCUGUCUCAA
rnacentral:sRNA from 1 species